rnacentral:lncRNA from 1 species
CUUUUCCUAGAUAAGCAAUUGUGUCAGGCUGGCUACGUCAUGACGUGGCUGUAUCUGUCAGACUUUUUAGGAUCCAGCGCUCCUCACAGAUGUGGCCUGCACCCCAGAAGGACCGCAGGGGACAGGAGAUACAGAAGCAGUUUGAAGAUAACAUUCAGGACCUGCUGGCUUCUCUCACGGAGGAUAAAUCCACCAUCAGUCAAGUGCUCUCAAGUCCUCGUCUCUCUAGAUUCUAGAAGGAUGUAGUGCUUUGGGAGAGAGUGUCCUGCUUUGGUGUUCUGUCACAGUCUACUCUGCGUGCGGAUUUAUUCCUGUCACCCAGCCUUAAGACUUGCUGUGCUUCCCCACGCUGUCUUGUCUCUGUUCUUCCUUGAUCCUGAUGACUGUAUCCUACAUUCAGAAGUGCAGAGACACUUUGUGCACACAUUUAAGUGUAAUUAAAGAAAUACUUGUGUACGCUGUAA